AUUGAACGCUGGCGGCAUGCUCUACACAUGCAAGUCGAACGGUAACAGGCCGCAAGGUGCUGACGAGUGGCGAACGGGUGAGUAAUGCAUCGGAACGUGCCCAGUCGUGGGGGAUAACUACUCGAAAGAGUAGCUAAUACCGCAUACGAUCUAUGGAUGAAAGCGGGGGACCGUAAGGCCUCGCGCGAUUGGAGCGGCCGAUGUCAGAUUAGGUAGUUGGUGGGGUAAAGGCUCACCAAGCCAACGAUCUGUAGCUGGUCUGAGGGGACGACCAGCCACACUGGAAUGAGGACAGGCCCAAACUCCUACGGGGAGGCACAGGUGGGAAUUUUGGACAAUGGGCGCAAGCCUGAUCCAGCAAUGCCGCGUGCAGGAAGAAGGCCUUCGGGUUGUAAACUGCUUUUGUACGGAACGAAACGGCUCUGGUUAAUACCCGGGGCUAAUGACGGUACCGUAAGAAUAAGCACCGGCUAACUACGUG
rnacentral:rRNA from 1 species